GCGGAUGUAGUUUAGUGGCAGAACUUCUGGCUUCCAACCAGAUGGCGCGAGUUCGAUUCUCGCCGUCCGCA
rnacentral:tRNA from 1 species